GCGGCCAAAUAGCAAUCUGCAUUAUUUGGAAGCUGACUUGGCCCUUUAAGGGCCACCCACCGAUAAACCCUCACUCCCAAAACAAGUGCAUCCCAAAUGAAGCCAGACUCCUUUCCUUUAGCAUUUGGAGGAAACAGAAGCACCCAGAGGAAUCCAGUCUAAUCCGUGGCACACAUUUAUCUGAGGACAAAAAUCCAUGUCCCAUAGACACAGCAUCGCUGAGAUAUUAAAUCUCAUUCUCAAUACACAAGAACAAAAUUGAAUUAAAAGAUGGAGGAAGGAGACCAUCGAGCAAGGAAUAACAUUAAAGAGCCUUGGUAGUACAGUGGUCUAAGGCACCCUGUUAUUAAGCUGGUUAUUAAGACCAGCUGCCUGCAAUUACUGUAGGUUCGAAUCUCGCCAAGGCUCAAGGUUGACUCAGGCUUCCAUCCUUUCUAAGCCAAAGUCCAGCCCAGCAGACAGACUGCCCUUGCCUUGGCAGCAGCAGGAGGAAGAAAAUGGCAAAGGUCAUUGGAAUGAACACAGAUCAAUAAAACCUGCCGUUUUGGAUACCAACACUGAUGGCAUGGGCAAGACAGGAAAACCUGAUCUUACAGAGAAUCAAUUAAAGAAGUAAUUCAAAUGA